rnacentral:lncRNA from 10 species
AUUUUCUGUUAAUAUCUCCUGAAGGUUCAGAAGGGUUCUUGAAAGGCCCCCUGUCUGAAGAAACAGAAGCAUCGGACAGUGUUGAUGGAGGUCACGAUUCUGUCAUUUUGGAUCCAGAGCGACUUGAGCCUGGGCUAGAUGAGGAGGACACGGACUUUGAGGAGGAAGAUGACAACCCCGACUGGGUGUCAGAGCUGAAGAAGCGAGCUGGAUGGCAAGGCCUGUGCGACAGAUAAUGCCUGAGGAAAUGUUCCUGAGUCACGCUGAGGAGAGGCUUCACUCAGGAGUUCAUGCUGAGAUGAUCAUGAGUUCAUGCGACGUAUAUUUUCCUUUGGAAACAGAAUGAAGCAGAGGAAACUCUUAAUACUUAAAAUCGUUCUUGAUUAGUAUCGUGAGUUUGAAAAGUCUAGAACUCCUGUAAGUUUUUGAACUCAAGGGAGAAGGUAUAGUGGAAUGAGUGUGAGCAUCGGGCUUUGCAGUCCCAUAGAACAGAAAUGGGAUGCUAGCGUGCCACUACCUACUUGUGUGAUUGUGGGAAAUUACUUAACCUCUUCAAGCCCCAAUUUCCUCAACCAUAAAAUGAAGAUAAUAAUGCCUACCUCAGAGGGAUGCUGACCACAGACCUUUAUAGCAGCCCGUAUGAUAUUAUUCACAUUAUGAUAUGUGUUUAUUAUUAUGUGACUCUUUUUACAUUUCCUAAAGGUUUGAGAAUUAAAUAUAUUUAAUUAUGAUU